rnacentral:lncRNA from 1 species
CCAGGCGCUGCUGCGCCCGAGUCGAGGGGAGCGGCGCGGGAAGGGCAGCGAGCCGCCGACGCCCCUGCCUCAUCUCAAAGGCCACGCGAGCGAGCGAACGAACGAACGCGAGUGACUUGCUANGGACGACCCCCGCCCCCCGCCCAGCCCGCUGGCUGCCGCCGAGGAAAGGGCCCGGCCGGCCCCGCCUAGCUGGGCACCCCUGCGCGCUCCUACCUGCCCACCCGGCAGGCCCCUCUCUCGCAGCCGCCCGGCCGCCCGACGGGCACCUGGGGACACCUCCCUCCUUCCCUCCCUCCGUNCUGCCCGGCCCGGCCUGGCCCGGCCCGGCGCGGCGCCUAUGUACCCCCGAUCGCGCACCCACCUCCCUGCGACCGCGGCAGCUCUCAUGGCGAAGGCGGCGGUAGCAGCGACAUCUGGGACGACGCGGCGGCGGCGCUGCCUUCGGGGCCGAGGGCGGGAGGAGGGCGUCCGCCGCCUCCGCCGGCGCCGGCCGGGAGGGCAGGGGAAGCGGGGCGGCGCACGCGGGAAGGCACCGGCGGGCGGCGGCGGCGAGGGGGGCAGGGAUGUCGCGAGACGGGAAAAGCCGCUUGGCCCCUCCCGCCCGGCACCUCUUAAAAGGGCAACGGCGGCGGCCGGCGGGGCGGCCGCGGGCAGGGUCCGAGGCCAGGAGCAGGAUCGCCGCCGCCGCGGGCAGCGAGGUGCGCGGCAGGGACGCGGCAGGGAAAGAGAGCAACAGCGCGAGCCUCGCGGUCGUGGCGCCCUCGGGUACUAUGUUGGCAACCGCUGCGUCGCCUAUUUCUUUCAGGCCACCAGGAGGAACCGUGGCAGACCGAAGGCGCCCCUGGGACUGGCGGGGGACGUCAGAGCCUCUGGCCCUCAGUCGCUCUGUGGAGGGAGACAGCGGGGCUUCUCUCAUGCCCUUCGCAAAGUAGGUGCUUUCGCUUAAUCAUAAAGAAAUCCAGAAGCCCCUCUUGUG